UCCGGUUUGGCACCGGCAGUCUCACUAGAGUGCCCGGCUUUACCCGCUGGUAACUAGUGACAAGGGUUGCGCUCGUUGCGGGACUUAACCCAACAUCUCACGACACGAGCUGACGACAGCCAUGCAGCACCUGUGAACGAGCUCCGAAGAGCCCCCAGGGUUUCCCCUCGAGUUCCCGUCCAUGUCAAGCCUAGGUAAGGUUCUUCGCGUUGCGUCGAAUUAAACCACAUGCUCCACCGCUUGUGCGGGCCCCCGUCAAUUCCCUUGAGUUUCAUUCUUGCGAACGUACUCCCCAGGUGGGAUACUUAUCACUUUCGCUUAGCCACUGAGAUCGCUCCCAACAACUAGUAUCCAUCGUUUACGGCGUGGACUAC
rnacentral:misc_RNA from 1 species